ACGAACGCUGGCGGCGUGCUUAACACAUGCAAGUCGAACGAGAAGAGAUGAGAAGCUUGNUUCUAUCAAUUCGAGUGGCAAACGGGUGAGUAACGCGUAAGCAACCUGCCCUUCAGAUGGGGACAACAGCUGGAAACGGCUGCUAAUACCGAAUACGUUCUCUUUAUCGCAUGGUAGAGGGAAGAAAGGGAGGCUCUUCGGAGCUUUCGCUGGAGGAGGGGCUUGCGUCUGAUUAGCUAGUUGGAGGGGUAACGGCCCACCAAGGCGACGAUCAGUAGCCGGUCUGAGAGGAUGAACGGCCACAUUGGGACUGAGACACGGCCCAGACUCCUACGGGAGGCAGCAGUGGGGAAUCUUCCGCAAUGGACGAAAGUCUGACGGAGCAACGCCGCGUGAACGAUGACGGCCUUCGGGUUGUAAAGUUCUGUUAUACGGGACGAAUGGCGUAGCGGUCAAUACCCGUUACGAGUGACGGUACCGUAAGAGAAAGCCACGGCUAACUACGUG
rnacentral:rRNA from 1 species